rnacentral:lncRNA from 1 species
CUCUCCCCUCCUCUUUCCCCACCUGCCCACAAACAGGAACUGACAUUCUCUUGUAGGUUGGGGGAAGAAACGUUCAGAGGACUUUCUUCAUGCCCUGUCGCUGAUUCCCCACUGUGGGAGCAGGUGGGACACUGGGAUGCUGGGAAAGGAAUGGAACCUGCAUCGCUCAGCCUGUCCCUCGUGCUGUAUGCAUGGACCUGACCUGUCUAGGCUUCUGCAUCCUCCAGGCCUCAGCUCCAGGCUGACCCAGCUCCUGCCCAGGGAGAACUUCAAUAGUCCAGCUGCUCGGCUGAGUGGGGUUUCACUGUGUAACCUUGGCUGUCCUGGAACUCACUCUAUAGACCAGGCUGGCACUCACAGGGAUCCACCUGCCUCUGCUGGGAUUAAAAACAAACGCCACU